AGUGCGCCAGGAGCUUUAUUUAGUGGCGCUGAAACCCCACGGCCUGGAUCAGGACUCCUAAGCCGGUGUCCUUACCGACAGAGAGGACAAAAUCUUGUGAGCAGGCUCUGCCCUCCGGGAAAAGAGCCA
rnacentral:sRNA from 1 species